rnacentral:rRNA from 1 species
UGGGGAAUAUUGGGCAAUGGGCGCAAGCCUGACCCAGCGACGCCGCGUGAAGGAAGAAGGUCUUCGGAUUGUAAACUUCUGUUGUAAGGGACGAAGAAAAUGACGGUACCUUACGAGGAAGCCACGGCUAACUACGUGCCAGCAGCCGCGGUAAUACGUAGGUGGCGAGCGUUAUCCGGAUUUACUGGGUGUAAAGGGUGUGUAGGCGGGAGAGCAAGUCAGAUGUGAAAAUUAUGGGCUCAACUCAUAAACUGCAUUUGAAACUGUUUUUCUUGAGGGUCGGAGAGGUAAAUGGAAUUCCCAGUGUAGCGGUGAAAUGCGUAGAUAUUGGGAGGAACACCAGUGGCGAAGGCGAUUUACUGGACGACAACUGACGCUGAUACACGAAAGCGUGGGGAGCAAACAGG